rnacentral:rRNA from 1 species
GAGUUUGAUCUUGGCUCAGAUUGAACGCUGGCGGCAUGCCUUACACAUGCAAGUCGAACGGUAACAGGUCUUUCGGGAUGCUGACGAGUGGCGAACGGGUGAGUAAUACAUCGGAACGUGCCUAGUAGUGGGGGAUAACUACUCGAAAGAGUGGCUAAUACCGCAUGAGAUCUAUGGAUGAAAGCAGAGGACCUUCGGGCCUUGUGCUACUAGAGCGGCCGAUGGCAGAUUAGGUAGUUGGUGGGAUAAAAAGCUUACCAAGCCUACGAUCUGUAGCUGGUCUGAGAGGACGAUCAGCCACACUGGGACUGAGACACGGCCCAGACUCCUACGGGAGGCAGCAGUGGGGAAUUUUGGACAAUGGGCGCAAGCCUGAUCCAGCAAUGCCGCGUGCAGGAUGAAGGCC